rnacentral:rRNA from 1 species
AAGGUAGCGAAAUUCCUUGUCGGGUAAGUUCCGACCUGCACGAAUGGCGUAACGACUUCCCCACUGUCUCGACCAGGAGCUCGGCGAAAUUGCAGUACGAGUAAAGAUGCUCGUUAAGCGCAGAAGGACGAAAAGACCCCGGGACCUUUACUAUACCUUGGUAUUGGCGUUAGGCGCGGAUUGUGUAGCAUAGGCGGGAGGCCGAGAGGCGCGGUCGCCAGAUCGCGCGGAGCCGUAAGGUGAAAUACCGCUCUGUUCGCAUUGGAUGUCUAACCUCGAACAGUCAUCCUGUUCAGGGACAGUGCCUGGCGGGUAGUUUAACUGGGGCGGUUGCCUCCCAAAGAGUAACGGAGGCGCUCAAAGGUCCGCUCAGCCCGGUUGGCAAUCGGGUUUCGAGUGUAAUCGCACAAGCGGGCUUGACUGCGAGAACGACGGUUCGGGCAGGGACGAAAGUCGGAGAUAGUGAUCCGGUGCCGGCGCACGGGCGCGGCAUCGCUCAACGGAUAAAAGGUACCCCGGGGAUAACAGGCUGAUCAUUCCCAAGAGUCCAUAUCGACGGGAUGGUUUGGCACCUCGAUGUCGGCUCGUCGCAUCCUGGGGCUGGAGCAGGUCCCAAGGGUUCGGCUGUUCGCCGAUUAAAGCGGCACGCGAGCUGGGUUCAGAACGUCGUGAGACAGUUUGGUCUCUAUCCUCUGCGCUCGUUGGAAUGCUGAGGAGGCCUGCCCAUAGUACGAGAGGACCUGGGUGGACGAACCUCUGGUAUGCCGGUUGUCACGCCAGUGGCACGGCCGGUUGGCUACGUUCGGAAGGGAUAACCGCUGAAAGCAUCUAAGCGGGAAGCCUGCUCCAAGAUAAGCAUUCCGUGGAACCUUCGAGUUCCUGUAGUCCCCAUGCAGAACACGUGGUCGAUAGGCCGGACGUGGAAGCCCCGCGAGGGGUGGAGCCGACCGGUACUAACGGACGAAAGGCAACACUAA